AGCGCAGGCGGGAAGACAAGUUGGAAGUGAAAACCAUGGGCUCAACCCAUGAAUUGCUUUCAAAACUGUUUUUCUUGAGUAGUGCAGAGGUAGAUGGAAUUCCCGGUGUAGCGGUGGAAUGCGUAGAUAUCGGGAGGAACACCAGUGGCGAAGGCGGUCUACUGGGCACCAACUGACGCUGAGGCUACGAAAGCAUGGGGUGACAAACA
rnacentral:rRNA from 1 species